AUUGAACGCUGGCGGCAGGCCUAACACAUGCAAGUCGAGCGGAUGAAGGGAGCUUGCUCCUGGAUUCAGCGGCGGACGGGUGAGUAAUGCCUAGGAAUCUGCCUGGUCGUGGGGGAUAACGUCCGUAAACGGGCGCUAAUACCGCAUACGUCCUGAGGGAGAAAGUGGGGGAUCUUCGGACCUCACGCUAUCAGCUGAGCCUAGGUGGGAUGAGCUAGUUGGUAGGGUAAAGGCCUACAAAGGCGACGAUCCGUAACUGGUCUGAGAGGAUGAUCAGUCACACUGGAACUGAGACACGGUCCAGACUCCUACGGGAGGCAGCAGUAGGGAAUCUUGAGCAAUGGGCGAAAGCCUGACCGAGCAACGCCGCGUGAGUGAUGAAGGUCUUCGGAUUGUAAACCUCUGUUAUUAGGGAAGAAGAAAAGUGUAAGAAACUAUGCAUGUCUUGACGUUACCUAAACAGAAAGCCCCGGCUAACUACGUG
rnacentral:rRNA from 1 species